rnacentral:RNase_P_RNA from 1 species
UGAGUCGGCUGGAUGGUCGCGGCCCGGCAUCGACCGGGUCGAGGAAGGUCGGGGCUCCGUAGGGCAGGGUGCUCGCUCGCGGCGAGUCGGGGCGACCCGCAGGAAAGUGCCACAGAGAACAGACCGCCGAUGGCCGGCCUCCGGGCCGGCACAGGCAAGGGUGAAACGGUGCGGUAAGAGCGCACCGCCCCGACCGUAAGGAAGGGGGCAUGGCAAGCCCCA